UGUACUGUAACUAACACACCAGGCCCUUGACAAAUACUUUGCUUAGUGAUUAUUAUUUUGUUUUAGUGAUGGGCAUGGCUUGGGUUCUGCUGGCUGCCCUGGACCACCUUGGCAGAUUACCCAAGGGAAAAGUAGACACGUGUAUUUCCACUGGAGGUACUUCAAGCUUUAAAAUAAGAAGUCAAGGAAGUGAAGGACUACAGCCACAUCCCAGCCCUCCAAAGAACUGUCCUGCAAAAAAGGCUGUCGUCCAGACUGGAGCGCUGAGCCAUCAGUGAGCUCAGGAAACCAGAUGAUCCCAGGCGUCUAGGAGUUGUUUGUGGUAUUCUUGCACCACCCUCACAAGUGUUGUUGCAGACACAAGUCAGCAGAGAAAUACAGCUUGCCUUAGGUGAAACUGAAUAUGUGAAAUAUAUACAUAACCCAAUUACUCAGUAUGUUUGUGUAUUGUUGGUGAUGAAAACCUGAUCCUGCCCUCUGAUGUACUGCAAAUAAUGACUGACACUGAGUUCCAGCUUCUUCUACUAGAGCUUCUACCACCGGGGUCCUGACAAAAUACGUUCAAAUAUACAUUACGUAGAUAUGUGAUUUGUAAAAAUGUUUUAUAUCGGACUAAAAAUAAAGCAUUAUAAUAGUCUCAA